GGAUCUGGGUUUCAAUCCUGUCUCCACCACUUGUGGAUUCUGUCGAAUCUCUAUUUUAUCAUCUGCAAAAGACGGUUGAUGCUUAUUUGAGAGGUGAUAUGGGGACUGAGUGAGAUAGCACAUGCCAAUCAUGUUGCCUAGUGUCUGAUCCCUAGGAAGGGCUCAGCUAGUUUCUUUCUGUUGGUCAGGGAGACUCUGUUCAAUUCACCUCUCACUUACUGAGUGCCUGCUGGAUGCCAGACAGUGAGUGGGCCCCUGGGGAUACAGAAACAAAUAAGAUGCGGCCCCUGCUCUGGAGUCUCACAGCCUCGAUUAGGCACUGUACAGUUUGUGGUAAACUGUUUAAACAUAUAGUGACACUUCUGCCUCUCCUGAUCAGUUUGGCCCUUUGGGGAGCCUGCUUCCGGACACAGCAGCAAGUGAAUAUGCAUCAUUUGGACAAUGAAGAAAGGCAAACCACCAAAGGCAAAAAGAGAAAGAAGGACCUCCAGAAUGGGAGAAUAAUUCCUCACUCGUCAGGUAAGCUGUACUCACUGUGUGUACUUCCUUGAUAUAAAAUGGUAUGGUGUUUGCAUAACCUGUCAGCCCAUGUACUUUACAUCAUCUCUAGAUUUACUUAUAAUAGCUAACAUAAUGUAAGUGCUGUGUAAAAUAGUUGUUAUACCAUAUUGUGUAGGAAAUAAUGACCAGAAAAAGAAAGUCUGUACAUGUUCAAUAUAGAAGCAAUCAUUUUUUCUAUUUUUUCCCCAAAUAUUUCUGAUCUGUGAUUGUUGGAAUGCCCAAAUGUGUGUAACCCACACCUAUGAAGAGCUGACUGUACUUGCUUUCCCAGAC
rnacentral:lncRNA from 1 species